UUACUUUGUCAAUAUGUAUACUAAAAUUGGAACAUCACAGAAAAGAUUAACACAGCCCAUGCAUAUGGAUGGUCUACACAUUCGUGGGUAAUUUCACAUUUGU